GAGCAGGCCCAGCAGUCCAGGGACCCCCGCAGCUCCAGAGGAGCUUCACUGCCCCCACCACCGCUCUCAGCUGCAGAGUAAGGAGGAGGAGUUUUGGUUAUGGCUGAGGAGACGCAGGAGGGGAGUUCUGUCACCGGGAGGAGGAGGCCUGUUAUUUUUGUUCCAGAUCAGAAAGGAACCUCCAACUUCUGGGAGACUGAUGGCACGACUGUCAACUAUCAGAUUCUGAACAAAAAACAAAGAUACUGAAAGCAGGAUGGCAGCUUGGACUCCAUUAGUGACCCAGAUUCACAGCUUAAAAAGCAACCAGUUGGUCUCGUAGGAUCUGGAUGUGCUUCAUGGACUGCAGCAGGCAGUGUCUGGCAGGAAGGUUUCUGGGUCGGUGAUCUUGACAGUGCGGGCCACAUUCCAGGACACAUGAAUCAUCGGGACUAUGGAUUUAACCUUCUUAACUUCGUUCCACUCAAAUCUCUCCAGGGCCAGCUGGUACUGAUGGUAUAUUCCUUACCACUGAGAGGUCCAACGUUCCAGGCAAUGUUGUUGCACCAGCCUACGGCCUGAACCCAGUGAACAGUUCCAGCGUU